rnacentral:rRNA from 1 species
UACGAAGGGGCUAGCGUUGUUCGGAAUCACUGGGCGUAAAGCGCACGUAGGCGGAUCUUUAAGUCAGAGGUGAAAUCCCAAGGCUCAACCUUGGAACUGCCUUUGAUACUGGGGAUCUUGAGUCCGGGAGAGGUGGUGGAACUGCGAGUGUAGAGGUGAAAUUCGUAGAUAUUCGCAAGAACACCAGUGGCGAAGGCGGACUCACUGGCCCGGUACUGACGCUGAGGUGCGAAA